rnacentral:rRNA from 1 species
UUGAACGCUGGCGGCAGGCCUAACACAUGCAGGUCGAACGGUAACAGGGAUCAGCUUGCUGAUUCGCUGACGAGUGGCGGACGGGUGAGUAAUGUCUGGGAAACUGCCUGAUGGAGGGGGAUAACUACUGGAAACGGUAGCUAAUACCGCAUAACGUCGCAAGACCAAAGAGGGGGACCUUCGGGCCUCUUGCCAUCGGAUGUGCCCAGAUGGGAUUAGCUAGUAGGUGGGGUAACGGCUCACCUAGGCGACGAUCCCUAGCUGGUCUGAGAGGAUGACCAGCCACACUGGAACUGAGACACGGUCCAGACUCCUACGGGAGGCAGCAGUGGGGAAUAUUGCACAAUGGGCGCAAGCCUGAUGCAGCCAUGCCGCGUGUAUGAAGAAGGCCUUCGGGUUGUAAAGUACUUUCAGCGGGGAGGAAGGGAGUAAAGUUAAUACCUUUGCUCAUUGACGUUACCCGCAGAAGAAGCACCGGCUAACUCCGUG